CCUCUUUUUCAUUUGCUUUUUUGUGCUCAUCGCCUGGGCUCUGACCGACUGUCCCUUGCUCCAUGGGAAUCAUGGGCCAAACGUAAAACACCUGCGCGAGGAACAGUGUCCCACCAAGUGCCAGGAGCACUCUCCCCUUGCUGCUCUGAAAACGCUGGACAUGGUACAUGAACAGGAAGCAGACUUAAUCCAGGACGAUGCGGAGGUAGGGAAACACACAUUCAAACAUGAUCACAUGAGUAAUUUUACAACUGCACAUUCUGAUAAUGCUACUAAUAAAAAGGUACAAAGCUCAGAGUGUCAUGAAACAGAG
ensembl:lncRNA